GUCCCGGUUCUCCUCACAGACCCAAGAGUUCACAGAGUGGAGCUGAAGACUUCACUGGAGCUGGAUCACCUCACCUGCAAACACUGAAACACUGAGUCCUCGGAGAUCCUGAGCUGGAGCUGAUUUGUUUUGUGAUUGUUUCCUCCUCGUCACUUCAGUCAAACCUGAAUCUUGAUCUUGAGUUGGUAGAGCAAACUGGUUUUCUCUGCUUGUUCCAGGAAUUUCCAGUUAAAGCAAAGAUCAGAACGGAUAUACUGUCAGUCACACACUAGAUUAGUAUUAGUGUUGUAAAAUACUUCUGAACAAACACUGGCAGAUAGAUAGAGGCCAUACAAAAAAAAAAAAAUCAGUUCUGUUCUGUAGCGGAGGGUCUCCAAAGUGUGCAUUUCUCUGUGGUACUCAGGCAGCAGCUCAAACACCGGUGAUAAUACAUCCCUAUGUUCUGGCCACAUUGCAGCAGACUGAACCAGGACUGGAAACCUACUCCUGUCACGGUCUGCUGGGGCAAGCCGUCAUAUAGCCGAAUUAUUUAGGACCAGGAAGCGGCAGCUCAGGUGCAGGAGCUGCCCUCAGAUUCAGACCUCAGCACCACCCAGUGACAACAGACAGAUCAUCCUAUAUCUUCACUCUUUGUAGUAACUCCAAAAUUAAGUGAUGAAAAAAAUGGUGUUUCAGAAAGCUGCUGAACACUGAAUGUACUCAGCUGCAUGAAGAGACAUGAGAUUUUCUUUGACACAAAUAAAUAAAACCUGAUGAAGCUCAAAGGUCAUCACUUGUAUGUUGAACUAAAACUUCUGAUCUGGAAUUUAACAAAUUACCUAUUACCAGGUCAAAA
ensembl:lncRNA